rnacentral:rRNA from 1 species
CACGCAGGCGGUUUGCUCAGUCCUUUGUGAAAGCCCGGGGCUCAACCCCGGAAUUGCAUGGGAUACUGGCAGACUGGAGACUGGUAGAGGCUAGCGGAAUUCCUGGCGUAGCGGUGGAAUGCGUAGAUAUCAGGAAGAACACCUGUGGCGAAGGCGGCUAGCUGGGCCAGAUCUGACGCUCAUGUGCGAAAGCGUGGGGAGCAAACA